rnacentral:lncRNA from 1 species
UGGCCUUUAUCAUGUUGAGGUAGGUUCCCGUUAUGCCCACUUUCUGAAGGGUUUUUAUCAGAAAUGGGUGUUGGAUUUUUCCAAAGGCUUUUUCCCCAUCUAUUGAGAGGAUCAUAUGGUUUUUAUUCUUCAGUUUGUUAAUGUGGUGUAUCACACUGAUGGAUUUGCGGAUAUUGAAGGACCUUGCAUCCCUGGGAUAAAUCUCACUUGAUCAUGAUGUACAAUCCUUUCAAUGUAUUGUUGGAUACGGUUUGCUAGGAUUUUGUUGAGGAUUUUUGCAUCGAUGUUCAUCAGUGGUAUUGGCCUGUAGUUUUCUUUUUUUGUGGAGUCUUUGUCUGGUUUUGGUACCAGGGUGACGGUGGCCUCAUAGAAUGAGUUUGGGAGUAUCCCUUCUGCAGCAAUUUUUUGAAAUAGUUUCAGAAGGAGAGGUGUUAGCUCUUCUCUAAAUGUUUGAUAGAAUUCGCCUGUGAAGCCAUCUGGUCUUGGACUUUUGUUUGUUGGAAGUUUUUUAAUCACAGUUUCAAUUUCAGUUCUUGUGAUGGGUCCAUUCAUCUUUUCUAUUUCAUCUUGGUUUAGUCUUGGAAGAUUGUACUUUUCUAAGAAUUUGUCCAUUUCUUCUAGGUUUUCCAUUUUAUUGGCAUAUAGUUGCAUAUAGUAGUCUCUUAUGAUCCUUUGUAUUUCUGUGAUGUCCGUUGUUACUUCUCCUUUUUCAUUUCUAAUUUUAUUGAUUUGAGUCCUCUCUCUUUUUUGCUUGAUAAGUCUGGCUAGGGGUUUAUCAAUUUUGUUGAUCUUUUCAAAGAACCAGCUUUUCGUUUCAUUGAUCUUUUCUAUGGUUUUCUUUGUUUCUAUUUCAUUGAUUUCUGCUCUGAUCUUUAUGAUUUCUUUCCUUCUACUAACUUUAGGUCUUGUCUGUUCUUCUCUCUCGAGCUGCUUUAGAUGUAAAGUUAGCUUGUUUAUUUGAGCUUUUUCUUGUUUCCUGAGGUGGGCUUGUAUUGCUAUAAACUUUCCUCUUAGAACGGCUUUUGCUGCAUCCCAUAGGUUUUGGAGUGUCGUAUCUUCGUUGUCAUUUGCUGCUAGGUAUUUUUUAAUUUCCUCUUUGAUUUCUUCAGUGAUCCAUUGGUUGUUUAGUAGCAUGUUGUUGAGUCUCCACGUGUUUGUGUUUUUUGCAGUUUUUUUCUUGUUGUUGAUUUCCAGUCAUAUAGCAUUGUGGUCGGAAAAGAUGCUUGAUAUGAUUUCAAUUUUCUUAAAGUUACUGAGGUUGGAUUUGUAGCCCAGGAUAUGAUCAAUCUUAGAGAAUGUUCCAUGUGCACUUGAGAAGAAUGUGUAUUCUGUUGCUUUUGGAUGGAAUGUCCUAUAAAUAUCUAUUAAGUCCAUCUGGUUUAAUGCUUCAUUCAGGGCCUGUGUUUCCUUAUUGAUUUUCUGUCUGGUUGAUCUGUCCAUUGCUGUAAGUGGGGUGUUAAAGUCCCCCACUAUGAUUGUGUUAUUGUCGAUUUCUCCUUUUAAGGUUGUUAGCAGUUGCCUUAUAUAUUGUGGUGAACCUGUGUUGGGUGCGUAGAUAUUUAAAAUUGUUAUAUCAUCUUCUUGGAUUGAUCCUUUGAUCAUUAUGUAAUGUCCUUCUUUGUCCCUUAAAAUAUUCUUCAUUUUAAAGUCUAUUUUGUCUGAUAUGAGUAUUGCUACUCCAGCUUUCUUUUGAUCCCCGUUUGCAUGAAAUAUUUUCUUCCAUCCUCUCACUUUCAAUUUGUAUGUGUCCCUAGAAGUGAAGUGGGUCUCUUGAAGACAGCAUAUAUAUGGGUCUUGUUUUUGUAUCCAUUCAGCCAGUCUAUGUCUUUUGGUUGGGGCGUUUAGUCCAUUCACAUUUAAGGUAAUUAUUGAUAUGUAUGUUCUUAUUGCCAUUUUAUUAAUUACUUUGGAUUUGUUUUUGCUGCUCUUUUUCCUUUCCUUCUUCUCUUGUUCUUUUCUGCCUAUAGAAGUUCCUUUAGUAUUUGUUUUGAUUUUUCUUUGUUUGUGUAUCAAUUGUAGAUUUUUGGUUUGCAGUUUUUCUGAAGUUUUGAUAUGAGUCUAAAUGUAUAUGAGAUUGUUUUAAGUUGUUGGUCUCUUAAUUGCAAGUUCAUCUCCAGUGUCCUGAAUUUGUACCCACCUCUUCUCAUGAUUUCUGAUUUUGGUGGUAUAAUUGUUCAUGCAUGAUUUAGUAUCUUUACUGUACAUAUACCUUUACUGGUGAGCCUUGUCAUUUGUGGUAUUUUUGUUUCCUGUUGCUGUCUUUUCUGUUCUGCCUAGAGAUGUUCCUUUAGUAUUUGUUGUAAGGCUGGUUUAGUGUUGCUGAAUUCUCUCAGUUUUUGCUUUCUGUGAAGGUUUUGAUUUGUCCUUCAAAUCUGAACGAGAGCCUUGCUGGAUAAAGUAAUCUUGGUUGGAAGUUUUUUCCUCUUAUCACGUUAAAUAUAUCAUGCCACUCCCUUCUGGCCUGCAGAGUUUCUGCUGAAAAAUCUGCCAAUAACAUUAUUGGGGUUUCUUUGUAUGUUACUUGUUUCUUUUCCCAAGCUGCUUUCAAGAUUUUCUCUUUGUCUUUAAUUCUGGUUAGUUUGAUUAAUAUGUGUCUCGGUGUAUUCCUCCUUGGGUUUAAUUUAUAUGGUACUUGUUGUGCUUCCUGGAUUUGAGUGAGUGAUUCCUUCCCCAUGUUAGGGAAGUUUUCAGCUAUUAUCUCUUGGAAUAUUUUUUCUGUCCCCUUCUCUCUCUCUCUUCUUCUGAUACCCCUAUAAUACAUAUGUUGGUGCAUUUAACGUUGUGCCAGAGUUCUCUGAGACUCUCUUCAUUUGUUUUCAAUCUUUUUUCUCUUUUCUGUUCUCCAUCUAUAAUUUCCACUAAUCUGUCCUCCUCCUCACUUAUUCGUUCUUCUGCCUCCUGUAUUCUGCUGUUCGCUGCUUCUAGUGAAUUUUUUAUUUCAGUUAUUCUAUUUUGCAUCUCUUCUUGUUUAAGUUUUAUAUUUUGUAUCUCUUUGCUCAGUGUUUCCUGUAAGUUAUCCAUCUUUGCCUCCAGUUUAUUUCCAAUGUCUUGCAUCAUCUUCAGCAUCAACAAUCUAAAGUCUUUUUCCUG